rnacentral:sRNA from 1 species
AGAAUGUGUGCCAUAGUAUUAGAGUUUGGUCUGUAGGUCCCUUUCACCUCAAUUUCUGGUGAACCUGUUACAAUUCCUUCAUUAUAGAAGAAAGCAGCCACCUUACGUUUCAAAAUAAGGAGACGACCUCAUGCGCUGUGUGGAUCUCUACAACCAGGCCCAGUCCAAGUGGUUUGAAGAGAUGGUGACCACCACACUGGAGCUAGAGCGGCUGGAGGUGGAGAGGGUAGAGAUGAUCCGGCAACACCUGUGCCAGUACACGCAGCUGCGGCAUGAAACAGACAUGUUCAACCAAAGUACAGUCGAGCCCGUGGAUCAGCUGCUUCGAAAAGUGGACCCGGCCAAAGACAGGGAGCUGUGGGUCAGAGAGCACAAGACGGGCAACAUCCGCCCUGUGGACAUGGAGAUCUAGAUGGGCCUGUGCAGCUUUGGGGGGUCCUACUGGGGAGGGGGGCUGGGCUCCCACCAUGGGGCCCAUGCCAAGUGGAUGCCCCCACCCUGUCUCCUGGGCCAUUGAGGAGAGAGGAGAGAGCUGGUGAUUCCAGAAGGGUGA